rnacentral:rRNA from 1 species
CUAAUACCGGAUGUGAAAGUUGGGAGGCAUCUUCUGAUUUUCAAAGUUGGGGACCGUAAGGCCUGACGCUUCAUGAUAAGCCCGCGGCCUAUCAGCUAGUUGGUGAGGUAACGGCUCACCAAGGCGAAGACGGGUAGCUGGUCUGAGAGGACGACCAGCCACACUGGAACUGAGACACGGUCCAGACACCUACGGGUGGCAGCAGUCGAGAAUUUUUCUCAAUGGGGGAAACCCUGAAGGAGCGACGCCGCGUGGGGGAUGAAUGGCUUCGGCCCGUAAACCCCUGUCAUUCGGGAUCAAUGCGUCUGGGUGAACAUCCCAGACGUUGAUAGUACCGGAAGAGGAAGGGACGGCUAACUCUGUGCCAGCAGCCCGCGGUAAUACAGAGGUCCCAAGCGUUGUUCGGAUUUACUGGGCGUAAAGGGUGCGUA